CGCAGCUUGGUGUAGUGGUAGCAUGUCUCUCAAGUAACUCGAAGAGUGAACGGAGGAGGCGCGGGUUCGAUUCCUGCGGUUGCAA